rnacentral:rRNA from 1 species
AAACCAACAGGGAUUGCCUUAGUAACGGCGAGUGAAGCGGCAAAAGCUCAAAUUUGAAAUCUGGCACCUUCGGUGUCCGAGUUGUAAUUUGAAGAAGGUAACUUUGGAGUUGGCUCUUGUCUAUGUUCCUUGGAACAGGACGUCACAGAGGGUGAGAAUCCCGUGCGAUGAGAUGCCCAAUUCUAUGUAAAGUGCUUUCGAAGAGUCGAGUUGUUUGGGAAUGCAGCUCUAAGUGGGUGGUAAAUUCCAUCUAAAGCUAAAUAUUGGCGAGAGACCGAUAGCGAACAAGUACAGUGAUGGAAAGAUGAAAAGAACUUUGAAAAGAGAGUGAAAAAGUACGUGAAAUUGUUGAAAGGGAAGGGCUUGAGAUCAGACUUGGUAUUUUGCGAUCCUUUCCUUCUUGGUUGGGUUCCUCGCAGCUUACUGGGCCAGCAUCGGUUUGGAUGGUAGGAUAAUGACUAAGGAAUGUGGCUCUACUUCGGUGGAGUGUUAUAGCCUUGGUUGAUACUGCCUGUCUAGACCGAGGACUGCGUCUUUGACUAGGAUGU